CUAGCUAGUUAUAUGUAACGUUACACUGUAUCCUGCAGGGAAGAGCGUGUUCCACGACGUGCAGAAAGGAUUGUGGAAAGUUGACUGAUGAGCGCAAGCUGCAUCUGUUCAACAGUUUCUACACUGUCCCAUACGAGAAACAACAAGCGUUGAUUCUCUCCGGCUUAGAACAGGGACAUUUUCAAACAGCAGUCUCUCAAUUUCGGCCAACUCAGGAGUGACACCUGUGGCAAAUGUGACGCAUUCUUCACUAAGAUGUCAGCAGCAACAUCUGAAGAGGAGAAGAGGAAGAUUGCAGUUGAAAGUGAGUUGCACCAUCGAAAAGCCGAAAAGGCCUACACACAGCUUCAAAGUGACACUGAGUGGGCUAAAGCCAAUGCUGACUGCCAUGUCAUUUCUGUGGAUCUACAGGGGGUGAUGUACACCCCUAAUCUGACCCACUCCAAUGUCUACUACCAGCGGCAGCUGUCAAAUGUUAACCUUUGCAUCCAGGAACUUGGAAAAGAAGAUCCUGCAUACAUGUGUGUUUGGCAUGAGGGGAUUGCACACCGAGGGUCCAUUGAGGUAGCAAGCUGCAUAUUGAAGUGGGUGAAGACAAAAUUCACACCACUCACCAAACCAGAGGUGCGCAAGUUGAUCAUCUUCAGUGACAGAUGCUGUGGGCAGAAUAACAACUGGCGGAUGCUCAAUCUGAUGUCGAUGCUCGUCUCUAUGGGUUACUUUACCCAAGUUGAGCAGAAGUUCAUGGUCUCUGGUUAUUCUUUUCUUCCUUGUGAUCGAUCUUUUGCCACCAUCGAGAACAGCUGCAAGGAGUCAGACCUUCAUACACCUGAUGAUGUUUCAAAGAUGAUACUUGAAGCACAACCAGCAAAACCAUUCAAGGUGAUAAGGAUGCAAUGUGAAGACUUCAGGCACCUUCCAGAUUCUGUCCUCAAGCGACCAGCUGGACUACAGAUCACCUCAGUGAGGUGGUUAAAAGUCACAGGUAUUGCACAGAGAAUAGUUUACUAACAUCCCAUUAACAUGCAAUAUGUUGUUCUAACAAUAAAAUAUCCUAAUGAUUCCCUUUUUUUAUUCAUUACAAUAUACAGUACAUCUCUCUGUCACCACAUUUAGCAUUAACUCUAAGUAGUUAAUACUUAUUUACUGCUGUCACCUCAGUACAGAAGGACAUUUCUUGCCUUUAGCAUGGGUUUAACGCAAUUCAAAAGUUAAUUGCUGAUCAUAGUGUUAAACGCAAAGAGAAUGGUUUUCUGAACGUUUUGUGAUAUUGACC
rnacentral:lncRNA from 1 species